rnacentral:lncRNA from 1 species
AAUAUACAAAAACCGGUUUUUGGUGUUUGGUAGCAGUGAACAAUCUGAAAACAAGUUCUAUCUAUAACGGUAUCAAAAAGGAAUAAAAUACUUAAAAAUAAAUUUAAUAAAAAUGCAAGACUUGAACACUGAAAAGUACAAAAACUUUUGAAAGCAAUGAAAGAAUACCUAAACAAAUGGAAAGACAUCCCGAAUUUAAUGGUUUGGAAGACUUAAUACUGUUAAGAUAGCAAUACUACCUAAACUGAUCUAUGGAUUCAAUACAAUUCCUGUCAUUUUGCAGAAGUUGAUGAGCUGAUCUUAAAAUUCAUAUAGAAUUGCACAAAAAUUAACUAAAAAUGGAUCAUAGACCUAAAUACAAGAGCUAAAACUAUGAAAAACUCUUGGAAGAAAACAGAAGUAAAUCAUUGUGCUCUUUGGAUAGGCAAAGCCUUUUUAGAUAUAACACCAAAAGUACAAGUGUCAAAAGAUAAAAUGGACUUCAUCAAAAUAAAAAAACCUCUCUGUUUCAAAGGACACUAUUAAGAGAGUGAAAAGGCAACCUAGAGGAUAGAAGAAAAUUAUGUCUCAUAUGGUACCUGUAUUCAGAAUAAAGAACUCCUACAACUCAACAAUAAAAAGACAAAUAAUUAAUCCAAUUAAAAAUGGACCAAGGAUCUUAACAGACACUUCUCCAAAGAAGAUACGCAAAUGGACAAUAAAUACAUGAAAAUUAGUCAUUGGGGUAAUGCAAACAAAAUCACAAUGAGAUACUAUGUUAUACUUAACUAGGUUGGCUAUAAUAAAAAAGAUGGACAAUAACAAUAUCCUUUUCUCCAACAUCCUUGCUGAGGACAUGUAGAAAUUAGAAACUUCAUACUUUGCUGGAAGGAAUGUAAAAUGGUGCAGCGUUUUGAAAAAGUUUUAGAGUUCCACAAAAUGGUAAACAUAGGGAGUCCCCUGGUGGUCUAGUGCUUAGGACUCAGUACUUUCACCACUGCAGCCUGGGUUCAAUCUCUGGUCUGGGAACUAAGAUCCCACAUCAAGCUGCUGUACACUGCAGCUCCCCCCCCCCAAAAAAAAAGAAAAUUAAAAAUAAAGCUAUCAUAUGACUCAGCAAUUCUAUUCCAAGGUAAAUAGUAAAGAGAGCUAAAAACAUGUCUAUAUAAAAACUUGUAAUUAAUGUUCAUAAUAGUAUUUUUCUUAAUAACCAAAAAGUGGAAAUAACCCAAGUGUUCGUCAAGUGAUGAAUGGGUGAAAAAUUAGGUGGCAUAGCCAUACAAUGGAAUAUUAUUCAGCUAUAAAAAGGAACAAGGGAGUUCCCAUCAUGGCUCAGUGGUUAACGAAUCUGACUAGGAACCAUGAGCCACAACAGGAACUCCCAGAUUUAUUUCUAAAUAAAUUGAAAAUUUGGGGCCUUGGUCACUAGGUAAGGAAUCUUCCCUAAGGUCUAUGAGCUAAUGCUAUUUUAUAUUUCCAAGAGUAUUCUUACUUUAACUGGUUUUAUAACACACUAGCUUCCUCUUUCAGCAAACUUAAAAGGUCACAGAAUCUAUGUUGAGUAAUACAUAAAAUACUUCAUAGAUUUUUUUUUUCAUCCCAUUAACUCCAAAAUGUAACCAUUGCUUGGAACUGUCUCUGACAAUUUGAUACAAGACAAGCCAAAAAGGACAGAUGUUCAUUACAAUCAUGUACAAUGGGUCAACUCUGAGGACAGCUACUAACUAUUCCAUACUUAGACUAUGUACAUUCCUGAGUUAUCAUCUCUGCUUUUAGACAAUAAUAUACAUAUGCAUUUUUUUCUUUUUAUGGCUCCGCCCACAGCAUAUGGAUGUUCCCAGGCCAGGGACUGAAUCUGAACCACAGCUGCCACUUAUGCCGCAGCUGUGGCAACCCUAGAUCCUUUAACCCACUGUGCCAGGCCAGGGAUUGAAGCACACACACCUCCGCAGCAACCUGAGCUGUUGCAGUCAGAUUCUUAACCCACUAUGCCACAGAAAGAACUCCUAAAUAUGCAUUUUUAAGUAUGGUAAAGGCAUGAUACCCAUUUUCUAUAAACCUUAUCCUAAGCGUGAUGGGUGUUCUAGUAUUAGAUGUAUAUAACAUACUUUUGAACACUGAGAGUGAAGUAGUGAUUUAAGACGUCAAUGUCUCCAGGACAUACUGGUGAUUACUUCUAACUGUAGAGCUACAUUAUAUUGAUUUUACUCUCUAUCCAGUUAAUCAAGAUGAUAAAAGCAGUUGCUACAGUAAGCUCUUCCUGAAUAGCGACUGUAAGUAGCUUGUUAAAAAUAAGAAGACAACCUGGAGUUCCUGCUGUGGCAAAGUGAUUAAUAAGGAUACACUGUUGCUGCAGAGUGUAGGUUGUAGCUGCAGCUCAGAUUUGCUCCCUGGCCUGGGAACUUCCACAUGCCACAGUGUUUGCCCCCGCCCUCCUGCCCCCAAGAUAAAUCACCUUGGAGAGAGCUCCUGGUCUCACCCACAACCUUUGUACAUUACCUUAUCUGAUCCUUUCAAUAAUUCUUUGUUGUCCAAGAAAAAAAUUGAGGUCCAAAACAAUUAGGUGACUUACUCAAGGUCACACCAUUCUACUUUCAUUCACUCAUUAUUCAUUUAACUAGUAUUUAUUGAUCAAAGGCACCUAUGUGC